GAUGAACGCUAGCGGCAGGCUUAACACAUGCAAGUCGAGGGGUAGAAGUUGCUUGCAACUUUGAGACCGGCGCACGGGUGCGUAACGCGUAUGCAAUCUACCUUAUACAGAGGGAUAGCCCAGAGAAAUUUGGAUUAAUACCUCAUAGUAUAAUUGAAUGGCAUCAUUUAAUUAUUAAAGUUCCAACGGUAUAAGAUGAGCAUGCGUCCUAUUAGCUAGAUGGUAAGGUAACGGCUUACCAUGGCAACGAUAGGUAGGGGUCCUGAGAGGGAGAUCCCCCACACUGGUACUGAGACACGGACCAGACUCCUACGGGAGGCAGCAGUGAGGAAUAUUGGACAAUGGGCGCAAGCCUGAUCCAGCCAUGCCGCGUGCAGGAAGAAGCAUCUAUGGUGUGUAAACUGCUUUUGUACGGGAAGAAACACCCCUUCGUGAAGGGACUUGACGGUACCGUAAGAAUAAGCACCGGCUAACUCUGUGCCAGCCGCCGCGGUAACAC
rnacentral:rRNA from 1 species